GAUGAACGCUGGCGGCGUGCCUAACACAUGCAAGUCGAACGAACAGACCAGGAGUUUGUUCCUCUGACGAGAGCGGCGGACGUGUGUGUCACACGUGUAAAAUCCCCUUAUCUUACUGGUAAAACUUCGGGACACCGGCUCUAAUCCCGUAUGAUCUCUUGAUCCGCAUGGUUGAAUAGUGAAAUUCGGUGUUGCUGGAACUUAUAGAUGGUUCCGCGCCGCAUUAGGUAGUUGGUAAGGUAACGGCUUACCAAGGGAACGAUGGGUAGCCGACGUGAGAGGGUGAUCGGCCACCCUGGAAGUGAGACGCGGUCCAGACUCCUACGGGAGGCAGCAGUAGGGAAGCGUCGGCAAUGGGCGGAAGCCUGACGGAGCGGCGCCACGUGGGUGAUGAAGGUCCUCGGAUCGUAAAACUCUGUUAUUGGGGAAGAACAAAUGUGUAAGGAACUAUGCACGUCGUGACGGUACCUAGUCAGAAAGCCACGGCUAACUACGUG
rnacentral:rRNA from 1 species